rnacentral:misc_RNA from 1 species
AAAGAAGAGAAGAAGAAAAAAAAAAAAGAAAAACGGAAAAGAAGAACGAGAAACAACGAGAAGCCGAUUUAGUCUGUGAGAAAAAGGGAGAAAACGAGAGGUGGCCAGCCCGUUUUUUCGUCGUCGUGAAUUCUCUACUUCUCGUCGCACGUCGUUGUCGUCGUCGUUUUCGACGUCGUCCUCGCCGUCCUCGUAAUCCUCGUCGUCUACGUGCUACGUCUACGCCGUCUACGUUUACGUCGUCGUCUACGUCGUCUACGUCGUCAUCCUCCUCGUUGUCACCGUCUCCGCUCACGCCGUCGUCGUAGUCGUGAUCCGGCUCGACGCGACCAACGCGGAUCACGCACAGUAUACAUACGGUUGUUCGUCGAAAUCGUGGUUCGGGAUCGAGAGGAAAACAAAAAUACGGGGAACGAGAGAAAGAAGGAGGAAGGAGGACGAGAGAGAGGGAAACAUAGUGUGUGCGAGCCGUGAAACGUACCGCGCACGUACGUUUCGUUCCACGUUCCCACCGUCCCUGCACAGUCGUAUAAUUUAUCGCGCGACGAGCAGAAGCGCAAAAUCCCGAGGCGGACCUUCCGAAAACGACGGGAGCACCGCGCACAUCGGGUGUGCUACCAGGGAAACAGAGAGAGAUAGGUGAACAACAGGGAGGAGGAGGAGGAGGAGGAGGAGGAGGUGGAGGAGGAGGAGGAGAAGGAAGGAGCGCGAAGGUUAAAGAGGCGCGGAGUAAACGUAACAAAACGGAAGAGGGUCUGGGAGAGGAUCAACGAGAGGUAGAAGCCGCGCGUGGUGAUAAGUCGCGCGUGAAAGUGCGUGUCGUGCCGUGCCGUGACAUCGGGAGCCGUUGACACGCGAAGGAUCGAGUCGAGUCGAGGUGUUUUUCGACGAAGGGGCGAACGCAGGGAGAAGAUCAGAUUCAGGUGACGACGUGGUGUUCAGCGAGAGAAGCGAGGCGGGUAUCGGCCAGAUUGCCGGCUGCCAUUGCCACUGGUACUAGUGUUACCAUAGCCACUGCAACCCCGGACACGCGAGAGCGUUGUCAUAACGACAAGCCGUGCGCCGCGCGUCGCUAUGGAGGCCCAGAACCAGGAAAUCGUUGCGAGCGGUUCGCCAGCCGAGGUGCCGAACGAUCCAGGGAAAAUGUUCAUCGGUGGUCUAUCAUGGCAGACCAGUCCAGAGAGCCUAAGGGAGUACUUCACCAAGUAUGGGGACAUCACAGAAGUCAUGGUCAUGAAAGAUCCCACCACGCGACGAUCAAGGGGCUUCGGAUUCAUCACGUUCGCAGAUCCCGCGAGCGUGGACAAAGUGCUGGCACAGGGUAAUCACGAGUUGGACGGCAAGAAAAUCGACCCGAAGGUAGCGUUUCCCAGGAGAACACAUCCAAAGAUGGUGACAAGGACAAAGAAGAUAUUCGUCGGUGGACUAUCGGCACCGACGACGCUGGAGGACGUGAAAAACUACUUCGAGCAGUUCGGCCCGAUCGAGGACGCCAUGCUGAUGUUCGACAAACAGACCAACAGGCACAGAGGUUUUGGCUUCGUCACGUUUCAAAGUGAGGAUGUGGUCGACAAAGUCUGCGAGAUUCAUUUCCACGAAAUCAACAACAAAAUGGUCGAAUGCAAGAAAGCACAGCCGAAGGAAGUGAUGCUCCCGGCGAACCUGGCGAAGACGCGAGCGGCCAACAGAGGCGCAUACGAUUUUAUGUGGUCCCUGGGAGCAUUACCUGAUGGUUUCCCAGCGGCGGCGUACGCGGCAUACGCGGCAAGCCGCGGCUAUUCUGGGUACCCUAGUUUCGGACUGCCCUACCCGACAGGAGUGCCGGCAGUGUACUACCACGGAACCGGAAGCGAGAACGCAAGCCGCGCGUAUACGGAGACACCGAUGCAACACGUCCAACGGACUGCGCUCCGGAAGAAAUGUAUGAGUGGAUCUUACCAACGGACAGCUCACCCCCAACAACAACACGCCCUUGCUCACGCAAGCUCUUUCUGUGAUGAACAACUACCAGGCGGCCGCAGCGCAGGCCGGAUUUCCGCCGGCGUCGCCGCACGCGGCCGGUGGACAUGGUGGGCCACAGGGCCGGUCAUUUCCUGCGGCCAACUCGCCGGGCCCCAUCGACAUGUAUAGUUCAAGCGCCGCAGCCGCAGCAGCAGCCGCAGCCGCGGACUCAGCAGUCGCCAGCUACGUCCAGGCCGCAGCUAGUCCGCAACCCCCUACGACCGCGUUCCCUGCGAUCGCCGUGUCUCGUGCCCCGCUCAACUACAGUCCCGGUCCUCUAAUACCAGCGGCGUUCACUAAUGGCUACCAUUGAGCCUUGUUAAGACCUAAUAACAGGAUGGACGAGAGGGCAGAGCGCAGCACGGUCGACUGACGGUACAAUGAGCGGUGUAAAUGCCUUGGAAAAAUUCACCAUGAUGAAUGAUCUCUGGACGGAAGAGGACGCGUACCAUCAUGAGCAAUAAAACGAAGAAUCGCGAUUUAGGUAGAAGAAUAACGUUUCCAACAAAAGGAGGCUUUUCGAUUUUGUAAACAUGAUCGAUCGAUUGCAACGAUCGAACGAAAAUAAUCGUGAUUUCCCAGCGGAGAAGAAAGGAAGAGAAUCAAAAUUGAAGAUAUUAGAAAAAAAAAAUCAAGUAAACUAAGAAAUGUAAAAAAAAAAAAAUAAAAAAAAUAAAAAAUAAAUUAAAAAUCAUUGAAAAGAUAAAAAUACGAAAAAAAAAAAAAUAAUAGAAUUUAUAAAUCGCGAUACACGUCCAGAAAGUUUGCGAGAGAGAAGCAACAUGGUAGAGGAAAAGACAAGCGGAUAAAUAAUAAGGAAAACGUAAAGGGCAGAUACUGCGUAAUGGUAGAUUUGGCCGAAACUGCGUAACAAUGCCCGUUCUCCGACAUUAAUAAAGAAUAAUAUAUUAAUAAUAAUGAAUUAAAUUAAUAUUAUUAAUUGCUAAAUAAUUAAGCGACUAAGUCUAGAAUAUAUAAAUAUUAUAUAUAUAAAUAUAUGAAUAUAUAUAAAUAUAUAUAUAUAUAUAUAUAAAUAAUUGAUAAAUAUUAGACGAUAACGUAUGGAUCCUUAGUAUUUAAGGCAGACGAUAAAGUCGCGGAAGAAUACCAACUUACAUACGAAAAUAUUAUUAUAAUUACUGGUUAUUAUUGUAUAACACUAUGGCGAUUCUAAUUGAUUAUAACAAAAUGGAGAAAGAAGGAUGGAAAGCUGUGCGUCGUGUAAGCUCGCGCGCGUAGCCGUGCGCGUUAUACAUAUAUAUAUAAAUAUAUAAAUAUAAAUAUAAAUAUAAAUACAAAAAUACAAAUAUAAAUAUAAAUAUAAAUACAAAUAUAAAUAUAAAUAUAAAUAAUAAAAAAAUAUAAUUAUUAUAUACAUUUACGCGUAACUCCGUUCGCACCCGGGAAGAGAACCCGUCGUCUCUCUGUUGGGCUUUCGAAUUUUUUUUUCUAGACAAGUAGCGGCGGAAUGAAGAGAGAGAGAGAGAAAGAGAGAGAGAGAGAGAGCGAGAGAAGAGAAAGAGAAAAGAGAGAAGAACAAAAAAAAAAAAAUAAAUAAAAUAAAAUUAAAAUAAAAUAAAAUAAAAUAAAAAAGAAAUGUACAAGAAAUUUUGAGUCGACGUCAAGGAGGAGCACCCGACACGAAUGUUUGAAGGGUAGUGUCGGGCCGGAAGGGAGAUUUGGGAGACGAGACGACGAGGGCGCUAGGCAGGCCAAGAGUGGGCUUCGCCCUUUUCCUUUGUUUCUUGCGCGCGCGUGUCCGCCACUUCUCAGCGUGCUCUUUGCCGACUGAAUGCCGGAAUGGCACUUCUCUCUCGCGUCCCGUCGUUGAAGCACUUUUUUCCUUUUCCCGGGUGUGCAACGAGGGAGAAAAGAGGACGAAUAAAGCAUGGAAAGAGCAAGGAGAGGGAGGUUGCGUACAUAGACGUAGGCACGCGUGUUACACGGAUGACGUGACGCUGUUUGCAUUGCUUAUCGUGCGAGGGAUGAAAAGGAAAAAAGAAAAAAAAAAAAAAAAAAAAGAAGAGAAACGCGGGGCCUCGAGCCAAGAUCGACGGAUUGGAACUCGCGAGGCUUUAUGUAAGUUAUAGUAGCGAAAAGAGAGAGAGAGAGAGAGAGA